AUGCACGCUGGCGGCGUGCCUAAUACAUGCAGGUCGAGCGAACGGACGAGAAGCUUGCUUCUCUGAUGUUAGCGGCGGACGGGUGAGAAACACGUGGAUAACCUACCUAUAAGACUGGGAUAACUUCGGGAAACCGGAGCUAAUACCGGAUGAUAUUUUGAACCGCAUGGUUCAAAAGUGAAAGACGGUCUUGCUGUCACUUAUAGAUGGAUCCGCGCUGCAUUAGCUAGUUGGUAAGGUAACGGCUUACCAAGGCAACGAUGCAUAGCCGACCUGAGAGGGUGAUCGGCCACACUGGAACUGAGACACGGUCCAGACUCCUACGGGAGGCAGCAGUAGGGAAUCUUCCGCAAUGGGCGAAAGCCUGACGGAGCAACGCCGCGUGAGUGAUGAAGGUCUUCGGAUCGUAAAACUCUGUUAUUAGGGAAGAACAUAUGUGUAAGUAACUGUGCACAUCUUGACGGUACCUAAUCAGAAAGCCACGGCUAACUACGUG
rnacentral:rRNA from 1 species